GACGAACGCUGGCGGCGUGCUUAACACAUGCAAGUCGAGCGGUAAGGCCCUUUCGGGGGUACACGAGCGGCGAACGGGUGAGUAACACGUGGGUGACCUGCCCUCAGCUCUGGGAUAAGCCUGGGAAACUGGGUCUAAUACUGGAUAUGACUCCACGGUGCAUGUCGUGGGGUGGAAAGCCUUGUGCGGCUGAGGAUGGGCCCGCGGCCUAUCAGCUUGUUGGUGGGGUGAUGGCCUACCAAGGCGACGACGGGUAGCCGGCCUGAGAGGGCGACCGGCCACACUGGGACUGGGACACGGCCCAGACUCCUACGGGAGGCAGCAGUGGGGAAUCUUGCGCAAUGGGCGAAAGCCUGACGCAGCGACGCCGCGUGAGGGAUGACGG
rnacentral:rRNA from 1 species